UUUGGGUUUCUUUAAAUAUCC
ensembl:piRNA 21ur-4954 ncRNA